UAUAGAACGGCCAUUCCCAAACUGUGGUCCGCGGACCACUAGUGGUCCGUGAGGGUACUGCAGGUGGUCCGUGAAAAGGCAAAAUAAGAAUAUGUAUAUUUUAAUAUACAAACUCGUUCAUAUUUUGGGCGAACGUGUACUGCUGCCUAAUAAACGUUACUGUGAACUCAUUCAUUCUGGUGCCUGUGAACGGCACGCUCUCUCAUUUUAACGUCGUUCAAUAGGGUGCCAGAUUUGUAUAUUCUUCCAGGCGAAAACCUGACUAAAACACACUGUAAACAGGCCUUAAUGUGUAGCGGAAAAAACACCCAAUCUGGCAACACCGCCACCACUCGGUGUUCACCAGUCACGCUGCAUGCAUCAUCACAACAACACAGACGCUUCUGAAAUUCCUGCCGUGCAACUCAAAUAGUUUAACAUUAAAUAACAUCAUAUUUGUCCUAAAUCGUUAACGAUUACCAUAGGCUGCUAACGCAUAUUCCGGAUCUUGAAAUAGACUUUGACUAAGCUCACGCUAUUUAACGUGCACGUGUGGUGUGCAAUACCUGCGAGUUGUCAAACACGCAAUGCCUCGCAGCGCUUACCCGGGGUGCGACCCCCACCCGACUAGCCUUCUUAAGGUAUGUGUAAGCAAAUACAAAAAUUUAAAGACUAUGCUAAUGUAAACCCUGGUUGGAUAAGGAUUUAAAGUUGGACAUGAAGAUGAAAUCUGACGCAUUUAGCUUCAGUGUUAAAACUGAUCAAAUAAUUGCUGUCUGUGGUGGUUCUAUAUGGGCUAUAAUGGCAAUCAUUUAAAAAAAAUAAUAUGGGAAAAAAUAACUAUAAAUUUGUUCAUUUUUGGAACUGUGACCUAGUUUAACAUUUUCAAAUAUGAACUAUGAACUGAACUAGUUCAUUUUAAAAUUUGUGAACUGUGAACUAAACUAGUUCAUGUAGAAAGUGAACUUUCCCAACACUAAGAAUAUGUAUAUAAAUAAUUAUGAUAUAAGGUUAAGAAACCUGUUGUACUGAUGUGAUGACCAGUUAAAGUUUUAGUGCUAGUGCAAGACUAUUUAGAUGUGCAGAUUAAUUCAGGACUUUGUGUGGACACAUUUUAUUAUAAUAAAAUAUUAUUAGUAAUAUAAGGUGGUCCGCGAAAAUUCUUGAUUACAAAUAGUGGUCCACACACACAAAAAGUUUGAAAACCCCUGAUAUAGAAGACUAGAUGCCCUAUUGGCCGCUGGGGACUGAGAAAUACGGCGGCCAUCUUAAACCGGUCGUUCUCCUAGUUUCGUUGCAUGGCAGCAGAUAAGAUGUCAGAGCACUGUGGAGCAUUUUCCUGUUCUAAUCGGCGGACGAUCGCAAAUAGAGCCCGGAGGAUUAUUUUCACAAGUACUUUUUAACAUCGCGGUACUAUUGGUUGUAUUUUGUGAAUAGAAUAUUACCAGAAAAUUGAGAAAGAGCCAGCUUAUUGAUUUUACUGUACUGAAAUCGUAGCCAGCUAACGUUCGCUAUGUUUACUGCACCAGCCGCUGUUCACCCUGCAAGGAGAGUGGGGUGCUGUGAGCUGCGUGAUCCGCCGAGCUUUAAAAAGCUGAGAUGUCAACAGGAACAGAGGAUGUUUUCCUUCGUAGGGAGGACAUUGAGGAGACUCGGUUUGGAAUCGACAAUUAUCAGUCUGACUCGUUGUCACUGGUUGUGUCUGUGUUUUUGGCUCCACCAUGUUGCCAAACUCACCUCUCUUGAACUACAGAAAGGGAGCACGGGAAAGAAGCUCUGGACAGGGGUGUGUGUGUGUGUGUGUGUGUGUGUGUGUGUGUGUGUGUGUGUGUGUGCGUGCGUGCGUGCGCGCGCGUGUGAGUGUGUGGGGGGGUUUACAAAUCAUUUUAAAUUGUUUCUUCACCAUAUUAAAAAGUCUUAUUUUAUUGCAACUAUCUGUUUCUGCAUCUUUGUCAUAUUUAUAGUGUGUGAUUUAUAAAAUAUCUUAUGUCCUACACCA